GAUGAAGAACGUAGCGAAUUGCGAUAAGUAAUGUGAAUUGCAGAAUUCAGUGAAUCAUCGAAUCUUUGAACGCACAUUGCGCCCGCCAGUAUUCUGGCGGGCAUGCCUGUUCGAGCGUCAUUUCAACCAUCAAGCCCCCGGCUUGUGUUGGGGACCUGCGGCUGCCGCAGGCCCUGAAAAGCAGUGGCGGGCUCGCUGUCACACCGAGCGUAGUAGCAUACAUCUCGCUCUGGGCGUGCUGCGGGUUCCGGCCGUUAAACCACCUUCAUAACCCAAGGUUGACCUCGGAUCAGGUAGGAAGACCCGCUGAACUUAAGCAUAUCAAUAAGCGGAGGA
rnacentral:misc_RNA from 1 species